AAGUCGUAACAAGGUUUCCGUAGGUGAACCUGCGGAAGGAUCAUUACAGAGUUCAUGCCCGAAAGGGUAGACCUCCCACCCUUGUGUAUUAUUACUUUGUUGCUUUGGCGAGCUGCCUUCGGGCCUUGUAUGCUCGCCAGAGAAUACCAAAACUCUUUUUAUUAAUGUCGUCUGAGUACUAUAUAAUAGUUAAAACUUUCAACAACGGAUCUCUUGGUUCUG
rnacentral:misc_RNA from 2 species